GGAUGUGAGGGUGAUCUGGCUGCAACAUCUAUCACCCCAUUGAUUGCCAGGGUUGAUUUGGCUAAUCUGGCUGGCUAGGCAGGUGUCUCCUUCCUCCCUCAUGCUCCAUGUGUGUCCCUUGCAAAGCUACCUGCUCAGUUGAAGAGGAUGACCACCCCCGAUAGAGGAGGACAUUUCUCAGUCGAGGGUAUACAGUCUAGUAUAUAUGAGUAGCUGCGCUCCCCUACUAGAACCUCCAAACAAGCUCUCAAGAAAUAAACAUAGAAGCGGAGCAUAGUGGUAUUUAACAAGAAUAAAGCAGGAGAAAAAUUC
rnacentral:snRNA from 1 species